rnacentral:rRNA from 1 species
CCUACGGGUGGCAGCAGUGAGGAAUAUUGGUCAAUGGGCGCGAGCCUGAACCAGCCAAGUAGCGUGAAGGAUGACUGCCCUACGGGUUGUAAACUUCUUUUAUAAAGGAAUAAAGUGAGGCAAGUGUGCAUUCUUGUAUGUACUGUAUGUAUAAGGAUCGGCUAACUCCGUGCCAGCAGACGCGGUAAUACGGAGGAUACGAGCGUUAUCCGGAUUUAUUGGGUUUAAAGGGAGCGUAGCUGGGUUGUUAAGUCAGUUGUGAAAGUUUGCGGCUCAACCGUAAAAGUGCAAUUGAUACUGGCAGACUUGAGUGCAGAUGAGGUAGGCGGAAUUCGAGGUGUAGCGGUGAAAUGCUUAGAGA